UAAAAACAUAAUUCGACGGGUACGAGCGAUUUUUCAAAUAACGAACAUCUCAUUUUUAAAUAAAUAUAUUCCAUACAUUUGUCGCUCACUAUAUACAUAUCGUGCAUCCAGUUCAAUACUGCCGUAACUGCAAAUUUUUAAUUUUUGAUUUUAUGGCGGUAUUUCAGUGCCAACAUGUUUAACUUCGAAAUGAAAUAUAGCCACAAGUGAUUAAGUUUUAAAAUAGACCAUAUUUUGCAAAUAUGGCAGAUAUGGCGCAGAUGUGACUUUAAAAUAUUAAAAUUUCAGUGCAAUAACGCCAUAUCUAACAAAAUUCUAAUAUUAUCUCAGUCUAUAAUUCUUCUAUGUAUGGUUAUAUAUCAGCAACAUGUAAGUAUACUCUAUCAAAAUUUUAAACAGCUAAUUAAUUAUGGAACUAAUUAAACAACACCACUGUUUUAUUUCCUUCUACUCAAAAAUGUUAUAAUUUACACUUGUGGCGGUAUUGAACUGGAUGUACGAUAUGUAAUCACAUAAAACUUUGUCUAUUACUUUUCCUUCAAGUAAAAGCAAAUUUGUGUAAAACUAACUUGCACAGAUUUCCAUCCAUGCCUUUAACCAUUUUAGACCUUCUAAUUUCUAGACGCACAGACCACUUUCAUGAAAAAACAAAUUCAAUCUGGGAUUUCAAAAAAGUAGUGCAUGUAUAAAUAUGCAAAAUCUUCUAUUUCUGUCAUAAUCAACUAAUAACUACAAUUAACUUGUUUAUUUGUUGAGUUAGUAUUCCUUUUCUGAACUUGACAUGGAUAUGCUAUUUUUUACUAGUGCUAUUUUUAUGCUAAAUUACACCACACAAAAAAAAAGUUGUUUGUAUGAAUUUAAAAGAUGAAGAAAAUUAAAUUCUGUGAAAAAUCAAUCCUUUCUGAGAUCUCCGCUAUUUAAAUUUAAUACAUAUAUUUUUCCUCUAUUUUAAAAUAAUAAUUAUUCCAGUCACAGAAAAGGGCAGCUUUUGGGCAAACAAACUGCUGUUUUUGUUCACUCUAUCGCUUCCGACCUCUUUCUUUAAUAAUUCUUGAAUAAUUCAUUAAAAAUGUACCUUUAGAAAUCACUUUUAGUUUUGAUCCUGAAGGUUUGUCGCAAUGUCCUGUAUAUCAAAAUCUAUCUUGAUGAACAUUUUUCUAAGCAUCAGCAGGAAGCAUGUAAUGUUGUUUUACGGUGAAAAAAAUAUAUAUUUGUAGUGUAUGAACAGAAUAAGUGUGCAAGUGUAUGACUGCCCGUAUCAAUUUAUUUCUUUAAGGGUCGGUUUUUCUCACUAACAAAUAAAAUUAAUUAGGAGGUGGAAAAACCGGUCCAAAAUAUAGUAUUCUAAUUUUCAUCUUAUACCUACAAUAAUUAUAGGUUAAAUUGUUACGCUUUAUUAAAUUUAAUUUUUUUAUAUAAAGGCCAAAUUAAUCGUGAAUAAAUUUAUGCAUUGAUAAA